CAACUGCUCCGAAGCCUGCCCAGGGCUCUAGGUGACCCCCGAAUUCGAGCGUGCUGAGGAACUGGCACAGGCGAUGCUUUGGCACCCGCGCUCGGGGAGGAGCUGCGGUGCCCGUCAGGCUCGCUUUCCCUUACCCUCCUUCCUGUGCAAGAAGAGGGCGAGCCAUGCUGAGAGCCCUGCGGAGGCGCUGGGAGACCUACAAGUACCGCUUCGUGCCAUGGAUCGCGCUCAAUCUCCGCCACAAGCGCAGAACUCUGCGGUUUGUCCCAGAAGAAUCUAAAGACAAAAUUGUUUCUGAUGAAGAUGUCCUACAAAUGCUACUGAAAACAUUUCGAGCUUUAUUUGUAAAUGACUUGGGCAGACAAAUGUUUCUUCUUAACUUUCUUCCAGAAGUUAAAUCCAAAUACCCAGCACUAGAGGCAGCUCAGCCCGAGACAUCCAAAGUAAUGGAUGACAACCAACAGAAUCAAAUCAUCUUCAAUCCAGAAGACAUUCUGCUUAAUACAUUAGGAUUCAGCAUUACCCGAAAGGCCAGUUCACUGAUUUCUGCUGGAACAGGAGUCUUUGUAACCAAAGGUUUUGUUCCAAAAGGAACAGUUGUAUCUAUGUAUCCUGGUACAGUCUAUGAAAAGUAUGAGCCUAUAUUUUUCCAGUCCAUUGGUAAUCCAUUUAUAUUUAGAUGCAUAGAUGGGGUGCUUAUUGAUGGGAAUGACAAGGGAAUAUCAAAGGCUAUAUAUAGAUCAUGCAGCAAAAGAGAUCAACUUGGUCCAUUGAAAAUGAGUGAUGUCUUUUGGCUUACGAAUAGGGUGCAGAAUCCACUGGCAGUGGGGCAAUAUGUCAACAACUGCUCAACAGACAAAGCAGCCAAUGUAUGUUACCAGGAAUUUGAUGUACCUGGAUGUUUUCCGAUAGAAUUGAAACAGUAUCUUCCAAACAUAAACUACAGCCAUGAAAUACAGAGGCCCCUGAGAUGUGUUGUUCUGGUUGCUCUCCAAAACAUCAGGCCAGGAGAAGAACUUUUCUCAAAUUAUUACACAAUUAUCAGCUGAGCUGGAGGAACCGUUGAUUGGAUAGAUUUCGACUCCUAAGGUAUUUAUAUGGAAUGCAUACCAGGAUGGGGACGUUGGUGCAUCCUUCUAACAAAAGAGGAAUUAAUGACCAGGCUGCAGUUGUGAAGAUGGCCAAAGGGAUGGUGAAGGACCACAGGAAGUUGCAUAAUUACUGUUUCAUCUGCUGAGAUUUGACAGCAGCACACUUACUCCCCUAGAAGAAUCUGCUUGUACACCAGAGCAAAGCUAAUGGCACGGACUGAAUCAGAGGAAGUCAGGAAUGGCCUUGGACCCACAGAAUCCAAAGACUCCCUUGUACCUCUGACUCCCCCGCUCCCCACCGCUAAAAUGGCCCUCAAAGUUCACACUGUUAAUUCCCCUUAUUGAAAUCAAUGUAGACUGGGGAUAAGAAUGAAUGAAUAAGUGGUCCCAGCUACUCUCCUGCACAGUGAGUUGGCAGGGCUUUAGAUGUGGUGGGUGAACAUCCUGGAAGAUCUUCAUAUUUUCUGAUUCUUCUCUUAGGCUCCAAUCUCUAUACCCACUCACCUGGGAUUCAAGUCUUGAAGUGUGCCAAGCACUGAACACAACGAGGUUUACUUUUAAGUGGACUUGUAUAGAAAUGGAUUUUGCAUGUGGAAGUUGAGUAGAUAAAAAAAUGUCUCCCUCUGCAAUCUUAUAUUAUGGACACAGGCAUUGGGAGCGGAAGAGAAAGGUCAGCCUGUUUAUAGUGGUUGCUGCUUUUAAGGAGCACUGACAGUGAUUAAAAUCCACUAUGUAGCAUAAACCUAGAA